AUGGGCAAGGCCUGGUUCUCACAGCCCAUAAUAGCCUCAGCAGCUUGGCAAUUAGUCAACUCUAUGACCUGGGGACUCCCGGCAUCCUUCAAGCAAGCCAUUUCCGAAGAAGGUGAAGAGAAACCAAGACGAUUUGCACCUCCUCCUCCUCCUUCUCCUCCUCCUCCUCUUCCUCUCCCCCUGCCCGGGCCCCCUCCUGUGCGUGUGUUUCAGUCAACACAGGAGCCUGGAUUGUGGAAAAUCCUCCAGCACAACUCAGUUCGGCUCAGAGAAGUCUCCGGAAUGGCCUAAGUUUGUGCAAUAAGAAGAUUUUUUUUUUUUCCUUUUUAAAAUUCUUCAUCACCUUUUCUUUAAGUGUCUGUGAGAAAGUACCCAGGUCAGACUGGAAUUGCUCUGCGACAGAAGUAACUGAACACAAACUGACAAAGAAAAAAAAAAGUUAACUAUUUUAUUUAUUUCAAUAUUUAAAAGGAAAAAGUGCUGACGUUGCACAGUAUUUUUGUUUAAAAUACCUUCUUCUUCAAAAGUUAAAAGCAAUCUUGUGAAGACGUGAAAUCAAAAAACUACUUAAUGUAAAAUAAAGACUGAAUAUUAACUCUGAGGGAAAAUACCCCACAUUUUUAAUAAGAAAAUAAAGAUCAACUCUGCUCUCUCAGGCUUUUUAAUAAGCCGCUCAUGUAUGUGCUUUAGAUAUUUUUUUAUUUCUGCGAGUUGGAUGUGGUAAGUGAGGAGUGAUCAGGUUUUGUUUGUUUGUUUGUUUUUCCCUUCUUCAGGAGUCUAUGGAAAAUGUUGGUGAUGUGAAAGAUUAUGUGUUAAGGAUUGACUGAAAUAAAUUAGCCACAAAGGCUAUCAGCAAUCCCCCGUCCUUCGCUACCCCCCCACCUCCCACAGUAGGCAAGCCCCAUUUAUCUGAAUGUCCAGAAGCAGUCUGCCUCCUGGUAAUUGUGUGUGAUGAGCCUAGUUCAGGAAGGAAUUCCACUGAGUGAUUGAAUGUAUAUCUCUGCUAGUUAACAGAUUCAAACACAGACUGCUUUGUUUAAAAUAAUGCAGCAAAGGAAAAACAGUUAAAAAGCAAAAAAAAAAAGAAACAUCAUUUGUGAUAUCACCUAACUCCUUCUAGAGGAGACUCGCAAAGGGAGCAUUCUGCCUAGCUGGCUUCAGGUGCCUGAGAUACCAGUGCUGUCCCCAAGGGCGAGAAAGGCAGACCUAAGUGAUGGAAAGCUCAGAUUCCCAUUUCCAGAGAGGGUUAAGGGGGAAGGUAAAUAUUCUAACAUUUCCUUUUAUGGUCACAUAGGUGGAAGAGAGAGUUAUGGCUAUGAACUGUAACUCAAUGUUGUUUCUGUCACCUAGCAAAGGACCUGGGCCACUGGGUUUCUAUUCCCAGGUUCCCAAUAGGACACCUCUUAAAGGUUCAUGCCCUUGAGUUCCCCUCACUUGUAGCAGACUCAUAAUAAUAAAUGUAUAAUCUAACACUGGAUAGUCUUGUCAGAAAAGGUCCUUAAAUCACAGUGUUACUGAAAUGGUUCUGAGAAUGAGCUUCUCCUUUGCCUUUGAAAGAGGAGGGUAGAUGGGCACAGUCUUUGCCUGCCAACCCUUCCAGGUUUCCCAUUCAAGACCAAUCCCAGGGGGUGAUCACCAAGAAUAAAGAAAAAAGAAUUAUAUCAUUCUGAAGCCCUUUUCUGUGACAUUUUCUGAUAGAAAAUGUCCCUCAUGGAAAUGCUAAUAAUUAUAAUACUCUGCUCUCCAACCAACUCCCACAAAUUCCAACACGUGUAGAAUUGUGAUAAAGCUUUGCAUAACGUAGGGUUUGUAUCAAGUUUGUGAAAGUUUCUGUUAAAUAAAAGUCUGUUUCCAAUGCUCUUAUAGCAUCUUUGUAAAUUUUGCUUUACCACCCUCAUCCUACAUGAGUUAGAUUUUCACGCUGUCAUGUGGAAGGGACUCUUGAAAGGAUUCUGCCUGCUUGCAUGCCUUGGGUUUGUUGAACUCUAUUGUUUUAUUUAGAAGCACAGUCUAGAGAGGAAGUUGUGACUGGCUUGGCUG
ensembl:lincRNA